rnacentral:rRNA from 1 species
GACGAACGCUGGCGGCGUGCUUAACACAUGCAAGUCGAACGGAAAGGCCCUGCUUUUGUGGGGUGCUCGAGUGGCGAACGGGUGAGUAACACGUGAGUAACCUGCCCUUGACUUUGGGAUAACUUCAGGAAACUGGGGCUAAUACCGGAUAGGAGCUCCUGCUGCAUGGUGGGGGAUGGAAAGUUUCGGCGGUUGGGGAUGGACUCGCGGCUUAUCAGCUUGUUGGUGGGGUAGUGGCUUACCAAGGCUUUGACGGGUAGCCGGCCUGAGAGGGUGACCGGCCACAAUGGGACUGCGAUACGGCCCAGACUCCUACGGGAGGCAGCAGUGGGGAAUAUUGCACAAUGGGCGGAAGCCUGAUGCAGCAACGCCGCGUGCGGGAUGACGGCCUUCGGGUUGUAAACCGCUUUCGCCUGUGACGAAGCGUGAGUGACGGUAAUGGGUAAAGAAGCACCGGCUAACUACGUG